rnacentral:rRNA from 1 species
UACGUAGGGUGCAAGCGUUGUCCGGAAUUAUUGGGCGUAAAGAGCUCGUAGGCGGUCUGUCGCGUCGGCUGUGAAAUCCCGAGGCUCAACCUCGGGUCUGCAGUCGAUACGGGCAAACUGGGGUGUUGCAGGGGAGACUGGAAUUCCUGGUGUAGCGGUGAAAUGCGCAGAUAUCAGGAGGAACACCGGUGGCGAAGGCGGGUCUCUGGGCCGAUAUCGACGCUGAGGAGCGAAAGCGUGGGGAGCGAACAGG